UUGGAGGUUUAAGAAGGUGAAGCUAACAACCUGUGUAGUUUUCACUGAUACCUGCCUCCAAAGGUGAUAUGGAAAGAGUAAACCGCUUAAUCUCUAGAACUGGUUUAAAGUACUCUGCUCUGGCCCACAAGU
rnacentral:scRNA from 1 species